rnacentral:rRNA from 1 species
GACGAACGCUGGCGGCGUGCCUAAUACAUGCAAGUAGAACGCUGAAGGAGGAGCUUGCUUCUCCGGAUGAGUUGCGAACGGGUGAGUAACGCGUAGGUAACCUGCCUGGUAGCGGGGGAUAACUAUUGGAAACGAUAGCUAGUACCGCAUAACAGUAGAUAUCGCAUGAUAUCUGCUUGAAAGGUGCAAUUGCAUCACUACCAGAUGGACCUGCGUUGUAUUAGCUAGUUGGUGAGGUAACGGCUCACCAAGGCGACGAUACAUAGCCGACCUGAGAGGGUGAUCGGCCACACUGGGACUGAGACACGGCCCAGACUCCUACGGGAGGCAGCAGUAGGGAAUCUUCGGCAAUGGACGGAAGUCUGACCGAGCAACGCCGCGUGAGUGAAGAAGGUUUUCGGAUCGUAAAGCUCUGUUGUAAGAGAAGAACGAGUGUGAGAGUGGAAAGUUCACACUGUGACGGUAUCUUACCAGAAAGGGACGGCUAACUACGUG